rnacentral:pre_miRNA from 1 species
AUUGGUUCUGAAAAGAAUUGAGUAAAUUUAUAUUAAAUAAAAUUCGAUUUCUUCUAUCAUUA